rnacentral:rRNA from 1 species
AGUGAACGCUGGCGGCGUGCUUAACACAUGCAAGUCGAACGAGAACGGGUUAUAGCUUGCUAUAAUUGUCAGCUAAGUGGCGCACGGGUGAGUAAUGUAUAGGUAAUAUGCCUCUUACUAAGGGAUAACAAAUGGAAACGUUUGCUAAUACCUGAUACUCCUUAUUAACAUAAGUUAAUAAGGGAAAGAUUUAUUGGUAAGAGAUUAGCCUGUAUUGUAUCAGUUAGUUGGUGGGGGAAUGGCUUACCAAGACUAUGACACAUAACUGGUUUGAGAGGAUGAUCAGUCACACUGGAACUGAGACACGGUCCAGACUCCUACGGGAGGCAGCAGUGGGGAAUAUUGCACAAUGGACGAAAGUCUGAUGCAGCAACGCCGCGUGGAGGCUGACACAUUUCGGUGCGUAAACUCCUUUUAUAUGAGAAGAUAAUGACGGUAUUAUAUGAAUAAGCACCGGCUAACUCCGUGCCAGCAGCCGCGGUAA